GAUGAACGCUGGCGGCGGGCCUAACACAUGCAAGUCGAGCGGAUAGACGGGGCUUUUGCCUGGCUUACGCGGCGGGCGGGCGGGUGAUGCAUAGGAGUAUGACCGACCGUGGGGGCUGACGUAAGGACACGAGAGCUGAUACAACAUCCGUCAAGAGGGUGAACCUGGGGGAUCAUCGGACAUAACGCUAUCUGCUGACCCUAGGUCGGAUUAGCUAGUUGGUGGGGUAAAGGCUUACCAAGGCGACGAUCCGUAACUGGUCUGAGAGGAUGAUCGGUCACACUGGAACUGAGACACGGUCCAGACUCCUACGGGAGGCAGCAGUGGGGAAUAUUCGGCAAUGGGCGAAAGCCUGAUGCAGCCACGCCGCGUGUGUGAAGAAGGUCUUCGGAUUGUAAAGCACUGUUAGUUGGGAAGAACGGCUGUGAGAUAAUACCUGGCCGUCUUGACGGUACCAACUGAAAAAGCACCGGCUAACUACGUG
rnacentral:rRNA from 1 species